GACGAACGCUGGCGGCGUGCCUAAUACAUGCAAGUCGAACGAGAGCGCCCGGUGCUUGCACUGGUCAAUCUAGUGGCGAACGGGUGAGUAACACGUGGGUAACCUGCCCAUCAGAGGGGGAUAACAUCCGGAAACGGAUGCUAAAACCGCAUAGGUCUUCGAACCGCAUGGUUUGAAGAGGAAAAGAGGCGCAAGCUUCUGCUGAUGGAUGGACCCGCGGUGCAUUAACUAGUUGGUGAGGUAACGGCUCACCAAGGCCGUGAUGCAUAGCCGACCUGAGAGGGUGAUCGGCCACAUUGGGACUGAGACACGGCCCAAACUCCUACGGGAGGCAGCAGUAGGGAAUCUUCCGCAAUGGACGCAAGUCUGACGGAGCAACGCCGCGUGAGUGAAGAAGGUUUUCGGAUCGUAAAACUCUGUUGUUAGAGAAGAACAAGUGCUAGAGUAACUGUUAGCGCCUUGACGGUAUCUAACCAGAAAGCCACGGCUAACUACGUG
rnacentral:rRNA from 1 species